CCCGGGAGGCAGCAGUGGGGAAGAUGGCGCAAGGGGUGAAAGCCUGACGCAGCGACGCCGCGGGAGGGAUGAAGGUCUUCGGAUCGUAAACCUCUGUCAGCAGGGAAGAACGGUCACUGUGCUAAUCAGCAGUGAAUGGACGGUACCUGCAAAGGAAGCACCGGCUAACUCCGUGCCAGCAGCCGCGGUAAUACGGAGGGUGCGAGCGUUAAUCGGAAUUACUGGGCGGAAAGCGCUCGUAGGCGGUAUGUCAAGUCAAGGGUGAAAUCCCCGCGCUCAACGUGGGAACUGCCUUUGAAACUGGCAACCUGGAGUGUGUGCGAGUAUAGUGGAAUUCCAGGUGUAGGCG
rnacentral:rRNA from 1 species